UGGGGAAUUUUGGACAAUGGGCGAAAGCCUGAUCCAGCAAUGCCGCGUGUGUGAAGAAGGCCUUCGGGUUGUAAAGCACUUUUGUCCGGAAAGAAAUCCUUGGCUCUAAUACAGUCGGGGGAUGACGGUACCGGAAGAAUAAGCACCGGCUAACUACGUGCCAGCAGCCGCGGUAAUACGUAGGGUGCAAGCGUUAAUCGGAAUUACUGGGCGUAAAGCGUGCGCAGGCGGUUUGCUAAGACCGAUGUGAAAUCCCCGGGCUCAACCUGGGAACUGCAUUGGUGACUGGCAGGCUAGAGUAUGGCAGAGGGGGUAGAAUUCCACGUGUAGCAGUGAAAUGCGUAGAGAUGUGGAGGAAUACCGAUGGCGAAGGCAGCCCCUGGGCCAAUACUGACGCUCAUGCACGAAAGCGUGGGGAGCAAACAGGAUUAGAUACCCUGGUAGUCCACGCCCUAAACGAUGUCAACUAGUUGUUGGGGAUUCAUUUCCUUAGUAACGUAGCUAACGCGUGAAGUUGACCGCCUGGGGAGUACGGUCGCAAGAUUAAAACUCAAAGGAAUUGACGGGGUCAUAGCUGUUUCCU
rnacentral:rRNA from 1 species